CUCCUUUUUACUUGGAAGUGAAACACGAGACGUGGUGAUUCAAAUUAUUGUUAAACACCCAAAGCGCUUUUCUGAACGUAGAGAAGAGUUUAAACUCGGGUUUUCUCCCGUUUGCCGAAGAGGCACUCUCUCGUUGGAGGAGACGGGAAGAUACUGCUCACAGGCGUCGGACACAGUAUUACUCACACUCGACAGUCUGGAAGUGGAAACGCCUCGCCUUUUGGGCGCAGCCAGACUCAAAGCAGCUCCCGCUACAUUUCAAGAGGGGAAUCUGACAAAUUCCCCAGCAUACAAACCUUUUACUGAAAGAGUUCAUAACGGGUGUUUCUCCGAAGAUCAAAUGAAAUGAUUCUGCUCCUAACCAAGCCUCGAUGUUCGAUGAAAUGGCUGUCUUGCUGCAACUUUUCACUUGAUGGAAGCGAUGCCCCCACUCCACUCCUGAAUAGAUGUCAACAACGUGAGAUCAGCAGCCAUCUGGAAUUGCUUGUUCCUCACUUUACAAGAUCUGUUAAAUGACUUAUCAAACACUGUGAUCGGGGGUCAAACAAACUCAAAUGUGCUUUUCAAAGAAUGAACUGGCAGGACUAAGUUUGCAUUGAGUUAACGCACUGACCUUCAUCUCUGGCAUCUGGGAUGCAAUUUAAACAGGGAAAGCAAAAAAUCUUCUCUAUCUGGUAACGGUUUACGACCAAAUAAAGCAGAACAGCGUCAACAGUGCUUUACUUAAAGGACAACAGGAAAUGAAAACUUCAGAGUCCAGUGAAGGUUACUCUGUUGAAAAUGAUGUGGAUAUUCUAAAUGUGUAGGAAGGAACUGCAAAUGAAAACCGGAGAUACCCUGUACCGUAAAGCUGGAGUAACUCAGUGGAUCAGACAGCAUCUCUGGAGAAAAGGAAUAGAUGACGUUUCGGGUCACAUAAAAAUACAUACGUCAGGCUGGUGUUUAUAGACUACAGCUCUGCGUUCAAUACCAUCAUCCUGUCCAAGCUGGUUACCAAGCUCUCGGAACUGGGUCUCUGCACAUCCCUCUGCAACUGGAUCCACGACUUCAUCAUCAACAGACCACAGUCUGUUCGAAUUGGCAAAAACAUUUCUUCCUCAAUAACAAUCAGUACGGGAGCACCACGAGGCUGUGUGCUCAGCCCUCUGCUCUACUCACUCUAUACUCAUGAAUGUGUAGCUGGACACAGUGCGAACUCCAUCUUCAAGUUUGCCGACGACACCACUGUUGUUGGACGAAUUACGAGAUGGUGAUGAGUCAGAGUAUAGAAGUGAGAUCGAUCGACUGACUAAAUGGUACCAGCACAACAACCUGGCUCUCUAUGUCGGUAAGACCAAGGAACUGAUUGUGGACUUUGGAAGAGGAAGGUUGAGGACCCAGAAACCUGUCGAUAUCAACGGGACGAUAGUGGAGAGAGUUAAAAACUUCAAAUUCCUGGGCGUGCAUAUUGCUGAAGAUCUUUCCUGGACUCAGCACACUAAUGCAAUUAUAAGCACGUUAAUGCCUCUACUUCCUGCGAAGAUUGCAGAGGUUCGGUACGUCAGAGAGGAUUCUCUUGAACUUCUACAGGUGUACAGUAGAGAGCAUAUUGACUGGUUGCAUCAUGGCCUGGUUCGGCAACUUGAACGCCCAGGAGCGAAGAAGACUGCAAAAAGCUGUGAACACUGCCCAGUCCAUCAUGGGUUCUGACCUCCCCGCCAUCCAAGGGAUUUACCGGAGUCGCUGCCAGUAUCAUCAGAGACCCACAUCACCCUGACCACACACUCAUUUUACCCCUGGUGUCGGGAAGAAGGUACAGGAGCCCGAAAACUGUAACGUUCAUGUUCUUCCCUACAGCCAUUAAACACUAUUAACCUCAAAUAAGCUCUGAACUACAUAGACUAUUAUUGCACAAUUAUUAUCUGUUGUUUAUGUGUAUGUAUGCGUGUGUAUAUACACACACUGAACUUUUUUUUCUUAUUUAUUAGAUUGUUUAGUGUCCUAUGUUUACAUAUUCUGUUGUGCUGCUGCAAGAAUUACAUUGUUCUAUCUGGGACACAUGACAAUAAAACACUCUUGACUCACUUUGGGUCGAGACCCUUCUGACUGAGAGUCAGGGGAAAGGGAGACAAGAGAUAUAGAAGGUGAUGUAGAGAGAUAUAGAACAAAUUAAUGAUAGAUAUGCAAAAAAGUAACGGUGAUAAAAGAAACAGGCCAUAGUUAGCUGUUUGUUAGGUGAGAACGAGUACAGACAAUGAGACUCAACAAGAUGACUUUGAAGCUGGUACAACGGGUGGGGGAGGGAUGGAGAGAGAGGGAAUCAAGGGCUUACUUGAAGUUGGAGAAAUCAAUAUUCAUACCGCUGGGUUGGAAGCUGCCCAAGCGAAAGAUGAGAUGCUGCUCCUCCAAUUUGCAUUGGUGCCAAUUCUUAAUGCCCCAAUUAGAAACCUAUUUCAUUUCCAGAACUGAGGAUCACCAAAAAGAAGCUUCAAAACAAAAGGAAGAUAGACACAAAACGUCGCUGUAACAGGCAGCAUCUCUGGAGAGAAGGAAUGGGUGACGUUUCGGGUCGAGACCCUUCUUCAGACUGGUUCAAAACAAAAGAAUCCAUUUGACACAAGGAACUGCAGGUGUUGGUUUACAAAAAAAGACAGUGCUGGAGUAACUUGUCGGGUCAGGCAGCAUCUCUGGAGAAUAUGGACAGGUGAUGUUUGGUGUCAGGACACUUCUAUUGCCUCCACAUUCCAAAGAUGUGCAGGUUGGUAGGUUAAUUGCCCCAAGUGUGUAGUGAGGCGAUGCAAAAGUGGAAUAAAUAGAACUAGUGAACAGCUAAUCAAUGGGCGGCCUGGACUUGGUGGGCUGAAGGAGCUGUAUCUUUCAAUCGAUGCUCAGUAAUCACAGUAAUCAGGUAAUCAUCUAACCUGAAUUCCCAGGGUUUAAGCACCGUUUUGGGGAUAGAAAACGCCUUUUCUUUCCGUCAGUGUUUGUGAAUUACGUAAUUGAUAUUUAAAGCAUUAAAAGAUCCUCCUUAUCAGAGGAUCGUAUUUAAUUAAUGUUAAAAAACAUUUGGUGAGAAGUGUACAGGUGUAAUUUCAGCAAUUUGUAGCAUCCAACUCCACCCAGAUAAUGCAUGGACAUUCCAGUUUGAGACAAAAAAAUAGAGCGUAAAAAUGAAAAAAAAUGCUGAAAGUUCAAAUUGAGAUCCUGUAUCACUGUUCUGCACGCAGAAUGAGGUAAUCACAAUGGCAUUAUUAGAGGCACAGGAAGAACUGGAUUCCUGCCCACAUGGUUAAUCAUAUCCUGUAAUAUGAAUGUAUUCAACAAUGCUUUUACAGGGAGAUGUGAUAUCACGUGCUGCCUAGCC